AAUGCAUGGUAGCUCCCACAUCAUUCCAAGAUAAACAUGGUGAAAUCAAGGCAGUUAAGUUACAUUACAACACUUCACUUACUAUGCUUAGCCCAAGGCUGGGUAGAGAACUGAACUUGAUGAAUCUAUCUACAAGUGAGCUACAAGUAAUUUUGCAUUUGCAAUAAUUCAGUUAAAGAGAGCAUUUUUUUUUUUGCCUUUCUCUUGUUUUAUUUGGUUUUAGAAUAGAAAAGAAUGCUGGCAGUAAGAGCAAAUGAUCCUGGUACUUUCUUAAGGCACAUUACAGCAAGGGAGGGGAGAUGAGGCCAUCUGGAAACGAUGUCCUUCGGCCAGAGUGAGUGCCUUCAACUGAGAACACUGGACAGCGGAUCCUGUCUGCAGCCUGCGCAGCGGUUUCUGAAAAUAGCCAGACAAGGCAAACAAGAAGAAAAAAACCACAUCUUACACUACUUGAAGUAAUAAUGGAGCAAAAGGGAAUGAAUAUGAAUCAAACAUUUUAUUAUUUGGCUUUAGGAUUGUCAGUAGUAGAUGCUGUUGUCCCAGCUAACACAGCCACCUUCUUGGAGAGAGACAAUUAAGCUACAUAUUUCCAAGAUGGGCCAAAGUUUAUUCAGCUUUAGAUUUGGAAGUCACAUGGAAAUCCAUCUCUGCUUUUCAGAGUAACUUAUGACAAGAAUAAUAUGGGCUUACUCAAACCUUAUUUUAAAACCUCCUGCAGAGUAAAUGGAUACUUUACCAUAAUAUGAACCAGCGUCAAUAACUGUGUGGUGAACCCAUGAUCUUCAGUGUGAUCUACAACACAGCCCAAGCAAUCUAAAGUUCUGUUUAAGUCAAAGCAAUGCUGGAACUCUUCAAAUGUCCCUGACCUUAUCCUCAAGCUCUAAGGACUUUAGGAAUGCCACUCCUGCACUCCUGCAGCUGGCAGUCACACUGCCCCUAGACUGCCCUGAGCCCAGGUGGUGAUAUGGUUUUUCAGAAUAACUGGUCAUUGUGGAUCCCCUCAGCAGCUGCACCCCUGUGCAGCAUGCCAGCCUGCACGGCAAAAAACACCGUCAGUGGUCAACUUCUUGACCAAAACCUCUAAGAUGGGGGUAUUCAGAGAGGCUUUUUCCCACUCAAAAAAUUCAGGUGCCCUCCUGCAGAGUCGUGUCUAGAAUCAAACACUACUGCUCCAUAAGCAAGCAAGGAGUCAAUGAGCACGUACGACGUGGGACAUGUGGAAACCAAAUCACAGACAAAUUGACCUGAAUCCAGGAAAAGGACAAGCAGGGGGACAGUACACUAACCUGCAGUAAUGCAGCAUUUGGGAAAUUGCCACAACACAGAUGCAGAUGAAUGCUGCAUGACUUCAGAAAUCUGUUAUCUCUGUCAUAUCCCACCCAUAACCAGGGGCGUUGAGGCUCAGUGGGAGGGAACAAGACAACAGGCUUACUUAUGGCAUCUUCUUGUGACCUCCCCACUGCAUGCUACUAAAAGAAAGUUUGCCCAUUUGUGCCUGAAGGUUUGACUUUCUGCCAUAUCCCUUUCAUAUUUUCUGACAUUUUCUUUUCAGAUUCGUUGAACCAUACCUUCUUUAUUGCCUUUCUAAUGUUUCAUUAGACAGGUAUAAAGAUCUCUGGCUCUAUUCUGCUGUUCAGAAGCUGCUCAGGAUUGUUAAGCAAUAGUUCAGCCAAUACCCGGAACUUCACAAAGCUUAGUGAUGAAAAUCAGAGCUUUCCUAAGCACAGCAAUGACACCUGGUGGUGAAACACAGGGAUCAUGUUCUUGUAGAGCUUCCGUGCAGCUUCUUUUUUCAUGUCCUAUUCCUCAACUCCAUCAUGGCCAGGGAACAAAUCUACCUAAACUGAAACAAGGCAGAUUCAAAUUACACUUCAAAAAAAAAUUCUCUGGGCACAGAGAGCAAAAAUUGCUUGGAGAUGAUGUGGUGCCAUCACCUCAGAGGUCUGAGAGGCCUGGUUAGACAAACAUGUCAUAGCUGAUCUUCCUUGAGGAGAGCACAGUGAAGCAGAGA